UACGGAAGGUCCGGGCGUCAUCCGGAUUUAUUGGGUUUAAAGGGAGCGCAGGCGGACCGGCAAGUUGGAAGUGAAAACUAUGGGCUCAACCCAUAAAUUGCUUUCAAAACUGCUGGCCUUGAGUAGUGCAGAGGUAGGUGGAAUUCCCGGUGUAGCGGUGGAAUGCGUAGAUAUCGGGAGGAACACCAGUGGCGAAGGCGACCUACUGGGCACCAACUGACGCUGAGGCUCGAAAGCAUGGGUAGCAAACAGG
rnacentral:rRNA from 1 species